GUUGUUGUAGUAUAGUGUUGUUACCAUGUUACCACAACCUUCUUCAAUCUACAGCAAGUUGCUGACGCAUGAGGCUUUCAAAGCAAGAGAGGCAUGAAAAGGAGUGGAGAGUGAAAGCUUCAGUUAGGACCUGGUCACGGGGCCCCGUUUCUGUCCCUCCAGAGAGAGCCAGGGAGCAGAGGAGCAGAAAAUCGAUGGCUAAAAGACAUCCAUGUUUGACUGAAUCCAGCUCGCCCGUUCCUCUCAUGCCGGGGGGUCUCUGCUUCAUCGUGUUGUAGUUAUCGGGGUUUGCAAGAUUUAAAAAAAGCGCAUCGAUAAGAUCUUCUCAUGGUCGAAUGAAUGGUGGUGGCAUGGCCGCUGAGUCCGGAGAUUAUCAGAAUGUCCCUGUCGAGCAUGCAAACCUACAGCCCCGACUGAUCCUGCCUCUGUUUACACCUUGGAGAGUCAUUAUAUAAAACCUCAAUAUAGUCACCAUAAAAAACAUGCUUGGUGUGAAAAGAAGCUCAUACUUUAGAGGUACUGUAAGGGGAACAGUAUCUCAGCGUGGGGGAAGAUCCCUUGGAGGGCAUCCAGAGACACUGCAUCAGAGAGAUAAAGCAGACAGAAGUCUGCUGUGGUUGAUAGGGUAAUGAACACAGCCUUGUUUAAGGAAGGGCUUGAAAUUGAGGUGAGCUUUCAGACACCUUGACAGCAAAAAGCAUGUUGUUAAUUGUGGAUUUUCGAGCAGCCCAGAUCCAGUUCCUCUGAGGGUUUCUGAGCAGAGCGAAGGCCAAGUACUGAUCUGGUGCGCUGCCGCACAAACAUCAAAAUUCACAGAGUGAGCUGAGAAAAUUCACAGAAUAAUUACUCAUAUUUAUGGAAUUAUUUAGCUGUUUUUCCUUGUUACCUGAAAUGAACAGCUUCUCUCUGUAAAAAUGAUUUUGUUGAUAGUAUUUUCAUUUUGGUUGCUUAAUCCAAGCAAUAUUCUAUCUUUACUUUUGCUCUUAUAAUUUGAUGCUGCAGAUUUUAAUAAAGUUUCUGGCCCCUG